GGAAUUGUGUAAUUCAGUAUAUUGUUUAUUUUGUUUGUUUCCUGUUAUUUCUGUCUGUGUUCUUUUGCUUUGCUUGUGUUAAGCAGGAUAUCACGUAGCCUAAUCGGUUGCGGGAUGGCUCCACCUCUCUCUGCCGGGAUUGGCUUAGGACGAUUGAAUAAGGGUUUAAAACCAUCUCUUCCGCUUUCUGCAGUUGAGCUGUGCGACUUCGGGCCGGUCGCACUUCUCCUGUCUCCUCUCCAGCCGCCAGACCCCCAUUACAUAUUGUGUAUUUUAUUUUUUGAUUUUUUGACUCUGUUAUAUAUUUUCUUUUCUUUACAGUGAUGGUGCUCGGUAGGGUUGACCUGCCCUUUUCUUUUGAAAUUAAGUUCGCUCUGUUUUGUUAGUGUAGUAAGGGUAAUUUGUUGUAUUUUGUUUUGAUAAUCUGAGGGAAGUUAUUUUGGAUAUUAUUUGUUUAUUAUUCAUUUUGUUUGUUAUUUUGGGCCUUGGGUCUUCCUGAAGUUUAUGCACCUACUGGUUUAUGUUAUCCUGGAAAUUCUCAAAUGUUACUCAUUUUCUUUUAUCUUAAUAAAACAUUAGUUGUUUUUUUUUUAACCCUGAAUCUAGUGGUUUUGAUUUAUUUAUCUAUUUUUUUUUUUUUCCUUUGGUCUGACGACUGGGCGGGGGAGGCAUUUUUCUUUCUUUUCUUAAUUUAUUGCGAUUUAACCUAGAUGGAUCGUAAUAAACACUGAACUGACUCGAGCUGAAAAACAACAACACUGUUGCCUUCUGUAGAACUGCUUAUAGCUGAACUGAACUUGUUUCAAAAUUGAUGAACUUUAGACAGUUAUUGAAUUGAACUGAACUGACUUGAGCGGAAUAAUGGCACUAUUGUCUUUUUAGUGCUGCUUUAAUUUCAAUUUAUCUUAUAUUUGAAGAAGUUUUCACAGUUGAUUCUGAUAUUUUUCUCUUUAUUAUACUGUGAAGCUGCUUUGAAACAAUCUGUAUUGUGUAAAACACUAGAAACUGACCUGACUUUAAACUUGCAGCAAGUUUAUGCAAUCAUUAGAUGGCAAGAAAAAAAGGAGUGUUUAUUUUUUAGAAUCUUGAUUGUUUCGAAACUCCCGUUUCUGCAUUUGUUAUCUACAGUAAACAGAUGAUGAUGAUGAGAACUGUGUUUGUUAUAAAUACCGUGUGCACAUGUGUCUCCUUAAGAGAAUUCUAGAGUUUUCCUUCUGUUCACACAUUCAACAUGCUGGUGCAAAAGCUAAGCUGGAUCAUUUUGAUGCUCGUACUGUGUCAACAUGGUGUAGAAGCGACAAGGAAACAUGUCUGUGAAGGAAGAUCUGAAUACCUCAGAUGUCGUGAGUAAUUUAGUAAUUUUAAGUUAUAUUUUUGGUGAUUUGUGCCAAAAUAGGACAGUAUGAGAGAGAAAGAAAGCAAUGGAAGAGAAAAGAGGGGAACAGGAUCAGGAGGGACCCUCUUCAACUGCGUGCAGUAUGCUUAAACUUUACCUCAAGUCUAAUGAUUUUUUUUUUUUUUUUUUACAUGUGUCAGAUCAGGGACUAAUAAAGGUCGUUUAUGCCAACUAUGGGCGAACUGAUCACAGAACAUGCGCUAGAGGAAAAACACAUAAAUUAAUCUCAAAUACACAGUGUUUCCAAGAAACAGCCCUCCAUAUAAGUCCUUUCGGUAAGAUUUACAUAGCUAAGAAAAUUUUAUUUUCAUUUUAUAUAUAAUUUUACAAGAGCAACAAUAAUAUAAUUUUUUUGUAAUGGGACUUAUAAAUACCUGGAUGUGUCUUAUGAAUGUCAAGAAUGUGGAACAGGUGUUUUAUAUAAAUAAUUUUCUAAACCUAUCCUAAAUGUUUAAGUUGUAAUUAAUCACAAAAUUCUUUACCUGGCUUUAGACCAUCUAUGUAGAUGAUAAUAAAUAAUUUGUCCCCUUGGAAUUAUAAGGUUAUGUGACAUUUUUGUCAAAACUGAGUUAUUCACAUAUUCUUAUUCUGUGACAAAUUUUUUACAUUAUGUAAUGUUUUUGGUAAUGUUGAGUACAUUUGGGGACUUUUUUAUUUAGAAAACAAAGAGGUUAUAUCUACAAAGUCCAAUGGAAUGCAAAAACUUUGAAGCUCAAUAUCUCAGAACUGCUCAGAAUGCAGACAGAACCUUAUAAUUCCAAGUGGACGAGCUGUUGUUGUUGUUGUUGUUUUACCUUAUUUACUUUACCUGCAUUUGGAAGAAGUCUUGUCAGCUAGUGCUUCAAAUUCUGUCUACUCUGAUCCAUGUCGGCGUGUCCAUAGGUAUCUGGAAGUGACAUAAAGCUGUAUAGCCUAUAAUUUUGUGAUUAUCCUGCCACAUAAAUGUAUUUUGUAUUUUUUUGUGUGUGUUUUAAAUGAAAACAGUCUCUCUCUAUUAUUGAUAUUGGAUGCUGAAAAUCUUGUUUUUGGUCUGUGAAAUAGUGAUUUCACAGAUGUUUUAGAAAUGGGCUAUCAUUAUCAUGUAUCUAUAUCUAUUAUAUUAUCAUUUAUCUGUACGUAAAUGUAUAAAAACUGCAAUUUUGUCAAACAGCAAACUGUAUAAAAAUAAAUAAAACAGCACCAUCUACUCA